UUUUCGAACUGAAAAUCAGUGUUUUAAGUUUUAACAAAAGCAAGUAGUACUUGACAGGAAGAACCUUCGGACAGAUAGUAAGGACCACCAUCUGCUAACAAGAACCUCCAAAGCUAGGGAAUUUUAGCAGCAUCAGGACCGUAGAUUUGUUUACCUGUCUGGAAAACACAUUUUAUGUUGCCCUCAGUUGUCCAGAACAUCAAAUCUUCCCAAACCCCAAGGGAUGAAAACAAAAACCUCAGGAGUUUCUUCCUCCAUGCAAAUACUUGUUCCAUCAGAAAACUGCAUCUUCAACAUCUGAUGAAAUCCCUCAAACAGAAAAUUUGCAUUUACGCAAGCUAAAAAAAAAAAAAAAUUAAGAUAGAAUAUUAAACUUACAAUACCCAGGUCUGUUGUAAUUGGGAAAUUCAUGGAGGAUUUUCCCCCAACAACCGAAUUUGAAUUUUGUUACAGCUCACCAACUAUCCAUAAGAAAUGAGUUAGCUCAAAGAAAUGAGUUAGCUCAAAGAAAUGAAACAUGACAACCAAUCCUUUCAAGUCUCAACUCUCAACCAAAAAAAUAUCACCAAAUCCCUCAACCACAAUUUCACUUUUCUUGAAUCCCAUCAUCUGCAAAUCCAAUCCAAGCAAAUGCAGCCAAAAAUAAUUAAGAUAGGACAAAGCCCAAUAACACUACCUUGCUUUUCUAUUCUAAAAACAUAAACCAACCAGCCAUUCACACUAGCAAGUCAAAAUUUCCCUUACUAAAUUUCAAUCGAAAGCAAAGAACAUCACUAAUCACCUAUCCCAUUACACCAAACCCCUACUGCCUAACUAUGCUAGCUAAAAAAAA
rnacentral:misc_RNA from 1 species